AGAAGCUGCAGCUGUCAGAAGCUC
rnacentral:miRNA from 2 species